rnacentral:rRNA from 1 species
GACGAACGCUGGCGGCGUGCUUAACACAUGCAAGUCGAACGGAAAGGCCCCUUCGGGGGUACUCGAGUGGCGAACGGGUGAGUAACACGUGAGUAACCUGCCCUUGACUUCGGGAUAACUUCAGGAAACUGGGGCUAAUACCGGAUAGGAAUCCUUGCUGCAUGGUGGGGGUUGGAAAGCUUCGGCGGUUUUGGAUGGACUCGCGGCUUAUCAGCUUGUUGGUGGGGUAGUGGCUUACCAAGGCUUUGACGGGUAGCCGGCCUGCGAGGGCGACCGGCCACAUUGGGACUGAGAGACGGCCCAGACUCCUACGGGAGGCAGCAGUGGGGAAUAUUGCACAAUGGGCGGAAGCCUGAUGCAGCAACGCCGCGUGCGGGAUGACGGCCUUCGGGUUGUAAACCGCUUUCAGCAGGGGCGAAGCUUGUGGUGACGGUACCUGCAGAAGAAGCACCGGCUAACUACGUG